rnacentral:rRNA from 1 species
UACGUAGGGUGCAAGCGUUAAUCGGAAUUACUGGGCGUAAAGCGUGCGCAGGCGGUUCGCUAAGACAGAUGUGAAAUCCCCGGGCUUAACCUGGGAACUGCAUUUGUGACUGGCGGGCUAGAGUAUGGCAGAGGGGGGUAGAAUUCCACGUGUAGCAGUGAAAUGCGUAGAGAUGUGGAGGAACACCGAUGGCGAAGGCAGCCUCCUGGGCCAGCACUGACGCUCAUGCACGAAAGCGUGGGGAGCAAACAGG